UGGGGAAUAUUUCGCAAUGGGGGAAACCCUGACGCAGCGAAGCCGCGUUCGGGAUGAAGGCCUUCGGGUUGUAAACCGCUUUUGAUUGGGAGCAAGCCUUUUGGGUGAGUGUACCUUUCGAAUAAGCGCCGGCUAACUACGUGCCAGCAGCCGCGGUAAUACGUAGGGCGCAAGCGUUAUCCGGAAUUAUUGGGCGUAAAGAGCUUGUAGGCGGUUCGUCGCGUCUGGUGUGAAAGCCCAUCGCUUAACGGUGGGUUUGCGCCGGGUACGGGCGGGCUAGAGUGCAGUAGGGGAGACUGGAAUUCCCGGUGUAACGGUGGAAUGUGUAGAUAUCGGGAAGAACACCAAGGGCGAAGGCAGGUCUCUGGGCUGUUACUGACGCUGGGAAGCGAAAGCGUGGGGAGCGAACAGG
rnacentral:rRNA from 1 species